rnacentral:rRNA from 1 species
AUUGAACGCUGGCGGCAGGCCUAACACAUGCAAGUCGAACGGCAGCGGGGGAUAGCUUGCUAUCCUGCCGGCGAGUGGCGGACGGGUGAGUAAUGCAUGGGGAGCUGCCCAGUCGAGGGGGAUAACAACUGGAAACGGUUGCUAAUACCGCAUACGCCCUUUGGGGGAAAGGUGGGGAACUUCGGUCUUACCGCUAUUGGAUGCGCCCAUGUGGGAUUAGCUAGUUGGUGAGGUAACGGCUCACCAAGGUGACGAUCUCUAGCUGGUCUGAGAGGAUGACCAGCCACACUGGAACUGAGACACGGUCCAGACUCCUACGGGAGGCAGCAGUGGGGAAUAUUGCACAAUGGGGGAAACCCUGAUGCAGCCAUGCCGCGUGUGUGAAGAAGGCCUUCGGGUUGUAAAGCACUUUCAGUCAGGAGGAAGGGGUGAUGGCUAAUAUCCAUCAUCAUUGACGUUACUGACAGAAGAAGCACCGGCUAACUCCGUGCCAGCAGCCGCAGUAA